GGGGGCGAAUAUGGUUUCGACAUGAAUGUCAAAAUCUAAGGUGCAUGCCGAGGAAGUACCGUAACCUCGUUAAUAACAGUACAAAUGCCAAUAAUAACUGGCAACAAAAAAGCAAACCGCGUAGCGGCUAACGACAGCAAUUUUGCUGCUGUUGCUAAAGCUGCCUAGUCUAGCUUAAUAACCUAGAUGCGCACGGAUAUGAUAGUCUUUCUUAUGACACUAUCUAUACAUCCGUUCAUAUUCCGCAUAAGACGGUCUUUGCUUUUUGUCUGGGAGUUAAGGCUGUAUUUAACAGACUCGCUAACUAUUACCCUGGCUAAUUGGGGAAUAGCU
rnacentral:tmRNA from 1 species